CAGCAGCCGCGGGAAUACGUAGGGUGCAAGCGUUGUCCGGAAUUAUUGGGCGUAAAGAGCUCGUAGGCGGUUUGUCGCGUCUGCUGUGAAAACGCGAGGCUCAACCUCGCGCCUGCAGUGGGUACGGGCAGACUAGAGUGCGGUAGGGGAGAUUGGAAUUCCUGGUGUAGCGGUGGAAUGCGCAGAUAUCAGGAGGAACACCGAUGGCGAAGGCAGAUCUCUGGGCCGUAACUGACGCUGAGGAGCGAAAGCGUGGGGAGCGAACAGGAUUAGAUACCCGCGUAGUCCCUGUCUCUUAUCC
rnacentral:rRNA from 1 species